rnacentral:snoRNA from 1 species
CAGCUGAUUAUGCAGGGAUCAUUUCUAUAGUUUGUUACUAGAGAGGUUUCUUUGGUCACGUAGAGUUCUGGAAACCCUCCGGAGGAAGUGAAGUAUUCUCUCCAGAGCAUGAAGCUGGCUCUUGGUGUUGCUUUGUCACAACAGACAUCAAUGGUUCUCCACCUUUUGGAAGAGAAAGAGGGAGAGAAUUUCCUGAGUGGU